AGAGUUUGAUCCUGGCUCAGGACGAACGCUGGCGGCGUGCCUAAUACAUGCAAGUAGAACGCUGAAGAGAGGAGCUUGCUCUUCUUGGAUGAGUUGCGAACGGGUGAGUAACGCGUAGGUAACCUGCCUUGUAGCGGGGGAUAACUAUUGGAAACGAUAGCUAAUACCGCAUAACAAUGGAUGACCCAUGUCAUUUAUUUGAAAGGGGCAAAUGCUCCACUACAAGAUGGACCUGCGUUGUAUUAGCUAGUAGGUGAGGUAACGGCUCACCUAGGCGACGAUACAUAGCCGACCUGAGAGGGUGAUCGGCCACACUGGGACUGAGACACGGCCCAGACUCCUACGGGAGGCAGCAGUAGGGAAUCUUCGGCAAUGGGGGCAACCCUGACCGAGCAACGCCGCGUGAGUGAAGAAGGUUUUCGGAUCGUAAAGCUCUGUUGUAAGUCAAGAACGAGUGUGAGAGUGGAAAGUUCACACUGUGACGGUAGCUUACCAGAAAGGGACGGCUAACUACGUGCCAGCAGCCGCGGUAAUACGUAGGUCCCGAGCGUUGUCCGGAUUUAUUGGGCGUAAAGCGAGCGCAGGCGGUUUGAUAAGUCUGAAGUUAAAGGCUGUGGCUCAACCAUAGUUCGCUUUGGAAACUGUCAAACUUGAGUGCAGAAGGGGAGAGUGGAAUUCCAUGUGUAGCGGUGAAAUGCGUAGAUAUAUGGAGGAACACCGGUGGCGAAAGCGGCUCUCUGGUCUGUAACUGACGCUGAGGCUCGAAAGCGUGGGGAGCGAACAGGAUUAGAUACCCUGGUAGUCCACGCCGUAAACGAUGAGUGCUAGGUGU
rnacentral:rRNA from 1 species